UACGUAGGCAGCAAGCGUUGUUCGGAGUUACUGGGCGUAAAGGGUGUGUAGGCGGUUGUUUUAAGUUUGGUGUGAAAUCUCCCGGCUCAACUGGGAGGGUGCGCCGAAUACUGAAUGACUCGAGUGCGGGAGAGGAAAGUGGAAAUUCCUGGUGUAGCGGUGAAAUGCGUAGAUAUCAGGAGGAACAUCGGUGGUGUAGACGGCUUUCUGGACCGUAACUGACGCUGAAACACGAAAGCGUGGGUAGCAAACAGG
rnacentral:rRNA from 1 species